GUACUGAACAUGUCAGCAGGUCUCCAGGAAUCCUUUCUAGAAUGGAAGAGAAAAAAUGUUUUUAAUUAAAAGACCAUCUCUUCACUUUAAAGGUUUAGCUUAAAGAAGCUUUAAAGAUUAUUGGAGAUGAAUUGUUAAAAAAUACCAGAAGCAGCUAAAAUUAGCCUUGGCUUUCCAUCCAGAACUUCAGUUUCAAGCUUCAGUCCAUCACUGCAAAAUGAGAGAAGAAGGAAAUCUGAAAUAUGAAGUAAUUUGAUGCUGGUUCAUGGCGGUGCCCGGCUGAGAUGUAGACUGAGCAGACGCACGGAAGCAGCUGCACCGCCAGCGCUCCCUGUCUCUGUGUACCGCGGUUGCCGGCCUCGCACAAGGAGCCGGGAGCCGAUAGGCUUCCCGCGGAGUUUCGGCUUUGCCAAUGGGCUCCUUGCACACUGCGGAGUCCUCCGCAGUGAGGCGUUGUGGGGGAUCGAGUCCUGUCCUGGGGGAUUUCGCUCAAAUACCGCCGCUGCUGCCAGCGGCCUCGCUGCGGGUGCAAAGCAAUUACCAGAGGAUUAUCCCGGCGCUCAGCGGCUGCAGAGGGAGGAGGGGAGGCACGGAGGGCGGGGAGAGGAGACGGGUGCGCGGCCCGGGCUGGGGGAAGGGCGGGAGCUCUGCUCUGCCUGUGGGGUGAUCACUUUCCGCUCCCUCGGAGGACGGCUAUUGCUCGCUCGUCUUUUUUUGUUUCUCUCAUUCUCGUAAUUUUCUCUCUCUCUUUCUCUCUCUCUUUUUUUUUUUUUCUUCUUUAGAGUGGUUUUUUUCCUUGGUGGUUUUGUUUGGGGUUUUUUGUGGGUUUAUUUUGGUUGUUUUCAGGGUGGUUUUGACAAAGCAAACAAGAUAGGGAAGAAAGAUGUGCAGCUGGCAAUGGGGAAGGAAUGUCUUGGUGGUGGCAGGCGGCCGGGCUGCUCAAGCCGGUGAGGGGCUUUACUGCCCGAUGGGUGUCCUGGUGCUGUCCGGGGAGCGACGGCCUCGGAAUCUCGUCCGGAGGGGGAGAGCUGGGAACCCACGAGUAGCCGAGGAGGAGAAGACUCGUGUGGGACAGCUUGCCGGGCCGCAGCGCUCCGGUGUCUGGGCCGUUGCGGCUGGUGUAGAGAGUGAGGAGUACUGGCUCCUCGAAGGGCGUUUUUCAUAAGUUCUGAUUUCUUCAACGAGUGGUUCUGCUCAGUGGGCUCUUUGGGGCUUGUUUUGUUUUGGCUACUAAAGCGUUUUGGGGGUUGUUUUUUGCGACGCUGCAGUCCUGUUGAACUUCGAGAUCCAUCCAUUUGCGAUCUUCACUGCGGUUUAGGAAAUGAAUAUUAAGCACCACCCAGUCUGCCGUGUGUAGGUACAGCUUCUUGAAUAACGGGACAUGUAAACAUGCAAAUGAAAUGAAUCUGCACUUUGUUGUAGUUUUAAGAAAACAACAUCGACUUAAUGUAAGGAGGAUUUGGCUGUGUUAAAGGGUAUAGUUGGAUUCAAUUAAAUGCUUCAGAGCCUGUUAGAUCUUUUACUAUUCAAGAUGAGGUUUAAGCGCACACUUAAAGCCAAAUGAUUACUGAAAUCCUUCAUUUUAAAUGACGUUAGGACCUGAAGACUUGUCUGGAGUGGUGUUGCUCUGCAAGUAGUUCAUUUUGUCUGGCUAAAAUGUACCAUAUAUACUGGGGUGGAUCCUGUAGCCGUUACACUUGAAUGCAAGUUUUGCUCUUUUGAGACUGUAAAGAAAACAAAAGCAGUAAUAGAGAAAUAGACGAUGAGGCUGAGGUUAGUGUCUACACAAAAUCUGUGCUGACAUACUAUCUAAAUUACUUCGUCUUUAUGUAAAGAAUGUGUCUGUCUUCAGACGAAAUCAUGUCCUUUGGAAUACUGCUUCACAGCUGUUACAUAGUAUUUACUGAUUGAUACACCAGCUGACGAAUCUGAAACUUCAGAGACUAGAGGGAGAGAGAAGGAAACCUGGAGUUGUUUUCAGUAAUGCACAUGAAGUCCUGUGAAACACAGAACACACAAGGAAAAGAUUUGGUCAGAAUUGGAACCAUUCUGUUUUAUAGCACACAGAUGAAAGGACUAUUCAAAAGAAGCCACAAUGGAAAGAAAAAGUUCAUGUUGCAAUGGGUUACACCUGAAAAGUGAAAGAGCAAAGAUCACCUAACGCUAGUUCCGAGAGACCAAGAAGACACUGCAUCAAAACUCGAUCUGCAGCAUUACAUGAAGAUGCAGUUCCUCAAAAGAAGUAGCUCCUGUCCUGUUUAUCCUGUUGUCAGAUGAGAGAAGACUAUGUUAGGAGCAGGCUGCCUUUGCUGCUGCAUUGUGUUUAUCAAACAAAUUGGGAGGAAGAAGAGGGCUGUGAGAAAUCAACAACCUGCAGCUUCUCAAGAAGAAAAGAAUGUAGCUUGACAACAUAAAGCAAACCUGUACUAGAAUGCAACCAGAGUGCUUCAUGGAGCAAUGUUUGAAACAAAGAUCAUAGCCUUUGGACACCCUUUGGUCCUACACAGAGACAACAAAGUAGUUCUGAUGAGAUUCUCUUAUUUCUAAAUGAACCCUUCUGUCUGCCAAGCACAGGCCAUAGUGCUAUUUAGGAUCCUAAAACUGCAACUCAACACCAAAAACAUGAAUCCUAUUAGCUGCAUGAAAGAAGCAGGCAAAAUAUUUCCAGCGAGAUAAGCUUUGUGCAGAAAGGCUUUAUGGCACCGACCCGCAUCAUGACACCAGAGACAGCACAGAUGUUCCUGUGAUUAGAUAAAAUGAGAAUUUUCAUCAUCUGAAGAAGUCAAUCUUAAGUCAUACUAUUGUUAUUAUCCUACCCUUGGGAUUUUGAUUUCAGCAUUGUCUUGAACGUAAGGAAUGAAUAUUAUGGAAGGGUUUGGAUUAUGUGACCCUGAGGUUGUUUGCAUUGAUGUUGUUUCUACUAAUACAGUAAGCAGAUUAGCUGUAAAACUCUGAUUAUUUUUCCCCUUUAUGUGAACUGCACAUUUUCCUAGCUACUCAUUUUGAAUAUUAUUUGGCAAAAUAUACUUAAAAAAAAGAAGCUCUACAGCAAAUGGUGUUCUCCAUAGUGGGUAUAUUCUGUUCUUUGACACUAGUCAUACUGACAGUCCCCAUGUAGAUAGUCCACUGCUCCAAGAUGGUGUAUGAUUACUUCUGUUACAAAAUUUAUUGACUGAUAGCAAGCUUGGUUCAUUGCAAUAUUGUUGCAGCCUUAUGGUAACUUGAUGGUGUCUUCCCACAAUGAGUUUUCCUUGGAAAGUAGAUUCUUAGUCAGAUGGUACUUUUCUGGAGUGAUCCUGGCUUUAGCAGGCUAUCACAAGGCCAAUAACUUUUGCCAGUGAAUGAGUCACAAAAAAAGAUAAAGCAGAACCUGAUGUUCCUGUCUUUUGACAUAGACAGGGAUGUGUGAUAUGUUGUUCAAAAAACUGUCAGCAGCUGACACCACUUGGAACAAGUUUUGUCAUUAACAGUACUGAGACAGGACUGUAAGGUAUUCUUAUUGCCCACCAAAUCUAAAUAAAGCACUAAACUUCUGAAAAUGGACACUUAUUGUGCUUUCAAGCAUUCAGUGUAGUGACCUACAUUUUAUAGUAUUUAUCAAUGUUCUUACAGUUGCAGACUGUAACUCUUCAAGGCUAUGUACUGUUUGCUUUUUAGAUCAAGUGGAAUUAUUGGUAUACAAAACCACUUCCCUUGUUGUCAGUUUCUUCAGGAACAGAUGUUCUCUGUCCAUAAUUUCCAUGGUUUUGUAACUAUUUUAACAGAAAUGUCUUCAAGCAAAUAUGCAGGUUUGAAAAGCAACUGAAGUUUGCAUUUUAAUUGUAGUUUAUUCCAUUGCUUUGAAUUUGGAAAAAUACUUGUUCCAUAUUGUAACUAAAGCUGAAGUAGACAGGUAUUCUAAGAGUCAAAUCAUAAAUGGUUUGGGUUGGAAGGGGCCUCCAAAGGUCAUCUACUCCAACCCUCCUGCAGUGAGCAGGGACAUUUUCCAUUAGAUUAGGUUCCUUUGUGCCAUGUCGAGCCUGACCUUGAAUAUCCUCAGGGAUGGAGCCACAACCACCUCCCUGAGUGACCUGCUCCAGUGUUCACCACCCUCAUAGUAAAGAACUUGUUCCUAACAUCCAACUGAAAUCUACUCUUCCAUAAUUUCAGUACAUUGCUCCUUGUCCUAUCACUACAGUCUCUCUCCAGUCUUUUUGUUAGGCUCCCUUCAGGUACUGGAAGGUCACUGUUGGGUCUCCUUAGAGUCUUCUCCAGGCUGUACAACCCCAGCUCUCUCAGCCAGUCUCCACAGGGGAGGUGUUCUAGCCCUGUGAUCAUCUUAGUGGCCCUUCUCUGGGCCAGCUCCACCAGGUUCAUGUCCUUCCUGGUGGAGGUCUCCAGAGCUGGAUGCAGAACUCCAGGGGCUCGAUUGCUCCAGCUCUCCCUGCUGCCGCCUUCCUCCGCGCGAAUGAGAUGUCAGCUAAACGUGAUGUUGUAAAAUCCAUGUGAGGACGGGAAGACAGAUGCAAUGAUUUGAAAGGUCUCUGACUUUGAAGGAAAAACAGGUUUUUUGCAUACUGGAAGAAUGCAGUGAAACUGCCAAUAUUUCUAGCUGGAAUUAUAAAUUUAAUAUUCAACUUUAGUGUUCCUAAUUUCUUACUAAAUAGUACCUCAAAGUAGAAGAAAAAAUGUAUGGAAGUGCAAGAACAAUCAGCAACUUAGAAGGAAGUCCCUCCAGGUCUCCUCGUUUGCCAAGAUCUCCUCGCCUGGGCCACAGGCGAACAAGUAGUGGAGGAGGAACUGGUAAGACACUAUCAAUGGAGAACAUCCAGUCCCUUAAUGCAGCCUAUGCAACUUCCGGACCAAUGUAUCUGAGUGACCACGAAGGUGUAGCUUCUACUACUUUCCCAAAGGGCACAAUGACUCUUGGAAGGGCUACAAAUCGAGCUAUGUAUGGUGGUCGAGUCACAGCUAUGGGAAGCAGUCCUAAUAUUGCUUCAGCUGGACUGUCGCACACAGAUGUCCUUUCUUACACUGAUCAGCAUGGAGGUCUGACCACAUCUUCACAUCAUCAUCACCAUCAAGUUCCUUCUAUGCUGAGACAAGUUAGAGAUAGUACCAUGUUGGAUCUGCAAGCUCAGCUUAAGGAACUACAGAGGGAGAAUGAUCUUCUCAGAAAAGAACUUGACAUAAAGGACAGCAAGCUGGGAUCCUCCAUGAAUAGCAUCAAAACUUUCUGGAGCCCUGAGCUAAAGAAAGAAAGAGUAUUGAGGAAAGAAGAAGCAGCCAGAAUGUCAGUUCUUAAAGAACAAAUGAGAGUUUCUCAUGAAGAAAAUCAGUUUUUGGAUGCCAGGAGAACAAAGCAUCUGCAGAUGACAAUCCAGGCGCUUCAGGAUGAGCUUAGAACCCAGAGAGACCUUAACCAUCUUCUUCAGCAAGAAAGUGGAAACCGAGGAGCUGAGCAUUUUACCAUUGAGCUCACAGAGGAGAAUUUUCGAAGACUUCAAGCAGAACAUGAUAGACAAGCUAAAGAGCUCUUCCUGUUGAGAAAAACACUAGAAGAAAUGGAGCUUAGGAUUGAAACACAAAAGCAAACGUUAAAUGCCAGGGAUGAAUCGAUAAAAAAGCUUCUGGAAAUGUUGCAAAGUAAAGGUUUGCCAUCCAAAGGAAUGGAAGAUGACAAUGAGAGAACUCGAAGGAUGGCAGAGGCUGAAUCUCAGGUUAAUCAUUUAGAAGUGAUUUUAGAUCAGAAGGAGAAGGAAAACAUGCAUCUGAGAGAGGAAUUACAUAGAAGAACCCAGCUUCAGCCUGAGCCAGCAAAGACGAAGGCUCUUCAAACAGUCAUUGAAAUGAAGGAUACAAAAAUAGCUUCACUUGAGCGCAAUAUAAGAGAUCUUGAAGAUGAAAUACAGAUGCUAAAGACAAAUGGAGUUCUGAAUACAGAGGACAGAGAAGAAGAGAUCAAACAAAUAGAAGUUUACAAGAGUCACUCAAAGUUCAUGAAAAAUAAGAUCGACCAACUGAAACAAGAACUCUCAAAGAAAGAAUCAGAACUUCUUGCCUUACAAACUAAGCUUGAAACCCUUAGCAAUCAAAAUUCAGAUUGCAAGCAACACAUUGAAGUGCUUAAAGAGUCUCUUACUGCCAAAGAACAGAGAGCUGCCAUACUUCAGACAGAGGUUGAUGCCUUGCGGUUGCGACUGGAAGAGAAAGAAACCUUCCUAAAUAAAAAAACAAAACAACUUCAAGACCUCACAGAAGAAAAAGGAACCCUUGCUGGAGAGAUUCGAGAUAUGAAAGACAUGUUGGAAGUAAAAGAAAGAAAAAUUAAUGUCCUUCAGAAAAAGAUUGAAAAUCUACAGGAGCAACUUAGGGACAAAGACAAACAGCUAACUAAUCUAAAAGACAGAGUCAAGUCUUUGCAGACGGAUUCUAGUAACACAGACACGGCACUAGCAACCUUAGAAGAAGCUCUAUCAGAGAAGGAAAGAAUAAUAGAACGCUUGAAGGAGCAAAGGGAGCGAGAUGACAGAGAAAGACUUGAAGAAAUUGAAUCCUAUAAAAAAGAAAACAAAGACCUGAAGGAGAAAGUUAAUGCUUUACAAGCUGAACUGACAGAAAAAGAGUCUAGUUUAAUCGAUCUCAAAGAACAUGCAUCUUCAUUGGCAUCAGCAGGGCUGAAAAGAGACUCCAAACUUAAGUCUUUAGAAAUAGCCAUAGAACAAAAGAAAGAAGAGUGUAGUAAGUUGGAAGCACAGUUGAAAAAGCAAGCUGAACAGUUGUUCAAUCAGAUGUACAAUCCAAUGCCAAUUAGGAAUAAUGGGAAGCAAGGGGCUCAUGAGGCCGAAGAGGAGGCACGGAUGAAUCCAGAAUUUGCAGACAGAAUCAAACAGCUUGACAAGGAGGCAUCAUACUAUAGAGAAGAAUGUGGCAAAGCUCAGGCCGAGGUUGACAGACUUCUAGAAAUACUCAAGGAAGUAGAAAAUGAGAAGAAUGACAAAGAUAAGAAAAUUGCUGAGUUAGAAAGACAUAUGAAGGACCAAAACAAGAAGGUUGCUAAUCUGAAGCACAAUCAGCAAAUGGAGAAAAAGAAGAAUGCACAGUUGUUGGAAGAAGUUCGUAGACGAGAGGACAAUAUGACUGACAACUCUCAACAUUUACACGUAGAAGAGUUGAUGAAUGCUCUGGAAAAGACUAGACAAGAAUUAGACUCUACCAAAGCCCGCCUUGCCUCAACACAGCAGUCUUUGGCUGAAAAAGAAGCACAUCUGGCCAACCUGAGAAUAGAGAGAAGAAAACAGCUUGAAGAAAUUCUAGAAAUGAAGCAGGAAGCUUUACUUGCUGCAAUUAGUGAAAAAGAUGCAAACAUUGCCUUGCUUGAACUGUCUGCUUCAAAGAAAAAGAAGACUCAAGAGGAAGUAAUGGCACUUAAACGAGAGAAGGACAGAUUAGUACAUCAGCUGAAACAGCAGACACAAAAUAGAAUGAAACUGAUGGCAGAUAACUAUGAUGAUGACCAUCAUCACUACCACCACCAUCACCACCACCACCAUCACCGAUCUCCUGGGAGGCCACAACACUCCAACCACAGACCCUCUCCAGAUCAGGAUGAUGAGGAGGGUAUAUGGGCAUAGCCAUUCCUGUAAACCAAAGUUCCAGUUUUGUUUUGAGGGAUGAUCCAGUCACUGUUGGAGGCACAUAGCCACGGCAAAAUCUCAUGCUGUACAUUGAUCACCUGUCCAACCUUUGCCUAGAGUGUGAUCCCCAGUUCCUUCAAGAGAUCCAUCUUUACCUGUCUACAAAGAAGAAGAGGAGGAGGGAGACAUCUGGGAUAUUCAAAGUUUAACACCAGAGCAGGAAGUCUAACAUGCAAGGAAGGAGGAGUGCAUCAUUUCUAGUGCUGGCCCAUGCUGGAUGGAGCCAAGGCAGCACCCUGCUCUAAAGGGUCACACUUUGGCCACUUCCCUGCUGCUGACUGUGCAACAGGACCGCUUUCUUCCUUGUGCUCUGGUUCAGUUGUCAGAGGAACUAGCGAAAGAGGAAGGAAAAAAAUGUAGCACUGGAAUGUAACAAUGAUAAUCUAUUGCAUUGGAUCUCCAAACAUGACCAUGACAUCCUGGAGAAGACCACAGAUGCAGAAAAUGAACACUACAGUUGGUAGCUACUGAAAUGCUGCAUUAAUUGGCAUUUUUCUCUCUUUUUUUUUUUCUUCUCUUGUAGCCUACUAUGAAAUUAGAUACUCUGAAAAAUUACGAAGGAGACUCAAGCAGAAAUAGUAACAACUUCAUUUCUGUCUUUAGUGGGUCUUGCAAGUUAGUCUGUUUUCACAAAGAAACCAUCUAUUCAGAAUAUUAUAGUUGAACAAAGUUCAGUUAAACAGGACAUUUAAUUUUUGGUAUAUUGAUACUGAUUUUAAUAAGUAAUUCAGAUUCUCUUAGAUGUGGUAUCUGCAUUUGCCAAUUUUACCUACUUGAUUCCAAAGUAUCACUUCUAUUGCACUAGAUUAUCAAAGAGGUAUUAGUAAAAUGCUAUAUAAGGGUGUUGGCAUUAAUCUUACCCCCCAGUAGAUGUGGGCUUUUCCAAAUAACUGAAAAUGAAGCCUUUACCCUCCUCUAUUUUCUUAUAUCUACUGGUAGAAUAAUACUUAAAAAAACAAACCAAAACCACAAACCAAACCCCCUCAAAAAAAAAAAAAAACCAAACCAAACAUUGAUAGUAUAACUGGUAUUAAGCUCUGGGCCAGGUUGGAAAUGAAAUCAAUUAUUGGUACUAAUAAGUGAUGACAAAAAUUAGCUUUAUAAAAAUAAUGGUGUGUGUCUCUGACAAUGCAUAGGACAUCUAAUUUGAGCAUAAAUAUCUAAGAUAUAUAAAAGAUGUAUCUAUUCGUGGAUGGUAAAAGCUUGAGACAUAUAAAAUACAUAUGUAUGUAUAUAUAUAUGGACGUAUACAGAAAGAUGUAUCAACCUUUUACCAUCCAAAUGCAUACAGGUUUUCAAUAAUAAAAGCUGGGACUCUUAAAAACAACAACAACAAAAGACAAACCUAAAGUUAAGAUUGCUGUGAAUACAGUACAUGCAUUAGAUCUUCUGUAAAUGAGGAUUUGUUUGUUAUUGUUUUCUAUAUUGGUGGACCUUCUCCAACACGGAUCCCAACAAAUCUUAGAUGUUAAAGAAAAUACCAAUGAACAAAUAGCACUUUGAGGCUGUUUGUAUCAACAAAGCAUAUCUAGUAAAAGUAAAUUUAAAGCACAUGCAAGGAAAAACAAAAAUGUGAAGUCAUUACAUUCAGUGAGAGAAUAUAGCUGAUAAUCAAAUCUUUACCACUUCUCAAGGAGAGGAUCCUUAUGACUCCACGAACAUAUUCAUUCAGUCUGGCAAACAUGUGCAAAUGUUUGGCUGUUUUAUUGAGGCAUCUUUCUGUCCAUGGAAGAAACAUUUCCAUGCUGAUGGCAGUGGGAAUAGAAUAUCUGCAUUUUUAAAGGACAAACAAUAAAUUUAAGCAUGGGUGGCCUUAAUCCUUAGUUUUUCUUUGCUGCUGUAAAAAAGAAAUUUAAAUGAAUACUCCUAAAGUCUUGCACUGAAUUUAGAAACAAAUAUUUUUUUGAACUUGUGGUGCAAUUAACCCUAAACAUCCUACAUGAGCCAUACAUAGUAACCCCUUUAAAAUGAUUGUCUAGAGAUGAAUAUUUUGUUUAUUUGUACCGUAAUUCUUGGUGCAAUCAAAGAGCAAUUUAUGUGAGCAGGAGUCCUGCUGGAUGCUACUGUCUUCAGUAAAGAGUAAAAUGUAUAGAAUUAGCAUAGUAUAGAUAAUCCCAAUUUCAUUCAUGUUUAAAAAGUUUGUCCUUUAACUACCAAUGGAAUUUUAGAUCUUUGUUUUUCAAACAGCAAAGCUUUUGGGAGUAUAUUUAGCACAUAUGACAAAUGUUGCACUUGGAAACUCAGACAACAAAACUAGUUUCUCAUGACAAAUUUGUUGUCACAGUAGGGGACAAUCGUCUGUGUCUCUUACAAUCAGGUCUUUACCUUAACUCUGCAACUGAAUACUUGAAGUAGGAAAUAAACUAGGGGGAAAUAGGGUCACAGAUACAAAGCUGUAUAGUUAGAUAUUUGUAUGUAUGUGCCAAUUUUGUCACAGAUAUUAUUUUAGGGGCAUUUUUGCUCCACUCAUGUUGGUAAUAGUAUCGAUCUAAACUUUUAUCAGGGCCUACAAGUUAGCUCCUAAAGAGGAAAAUUUUUUCUAACAUUGCUUUUUUUUUUUCUCUCCCCCUCCCUCCUUUUUUUUUCCCCCUUUCCAUUCCAUGUGAUACUCUAUGGUGUUCAAAGAAAAUGUUUUCAUAUCCUAUAAUAGAAUCUCGGGGUUUACAAUAAACACUGUGAUGUUGGGAAAUAUUUUAUUUGAGCAAUGUUUGGUAGGUUCCCCCCCCCCCCCCCCCCCCCCGUGUGUAAAGAAGCAAACCAACUUUUGGUUAACAUUUAAGAUAAUGAUUAUUAUUUUACUGUGAGAUCAGUCUCGUACUGCACAUUUUUUUCUUUCAUUUAAAUGUACAGUUUGAAUUUUGUAUUUAAUGACUUUUGUGUAUCCAGUAUGCACGUACCUGCACAUUGACUUUCAUUUGAAAGUGGGUUUGAAUUUACUUUUUAAACAGUGUUUAUGGAAAGACCUCAGAUGUGUUGACACAACCUAUAUCUGCAAUGUUUUUUUUUGUGCGUGUAGGGUGACGUUUGAAUGUGAUGUUCUGCAGCAGUGGGUCAGUAUUCCCUAUUUACCUUAGAUCCUCAUUUGAUAGUGCUUCUUGUAAUAUUUUUUUCAAGUGAGUGGCAUGUUCUGGAUAUUGAUAUAUGGUUAAGGACAUUGAUAUGAAACUAAGGAAUUCCUAGAAAUACCAGUGGGCAUGUAUUAGACAGUCAUUGUAACUUUAAUGUCUAGUAGAAGUGUAAAGUACCAAGAUAUUUAGAGUUCAUAACAUUGUUAUCAUGUGUAUGGGAAGUAUUUAGUGUUGAUCAGCUUGUUUAUAUUCAUCAAAUAAACUUUGUUUCUUUCUGAAA